rnacentral:lncRNA from 1 species
ACCCUUCUUUUUUUUUUUUUUUUUUUUUAACAAGGAUUUACAGGAUUUGUAGAUUAAAUUGCCCCUGUUCUCCAAGAAGCAGCGGGAACAGCAGCGCUGCAGGGUGAUGGGCUGCAGAGGCCUCUGCAGCAGGGUGGGGUCUGGGGAGACAUUCGGGUGCCUCCUGUCCACGGCCUCGAUAGGCCAGGGCGCCUGCAGCUUGGGCCCUCUUCCCCUUUCAGGUGGAGGGAGCUGUUCAUCCUCUGGGGGCUGCUGGGCAAGAAACAUUUCUUACGUGAUAAUGUGAAGCGUCAGAGGUCCCUGUUUGAUAGCUCUACUGAGAUGAAGAAAGAAAAAGAAUACCUGCUCAGCUCCAGAGACACGUAAAGGGACAGAGAUUGGGGGACAGAAGGAAGUGCAUUAAUUCCUUCCACGACCCCUGAAGAGCAGCGGUGGGUCUGAGCAUCCUAUCUCCAGGAAGCAGGCCAGCAGGAUUUCCAAAGAUGAUGUUAAACCCAGCCACGGUUCUGAUCUCCAGGAAAGCAAUUGCUGUGGUACAAAAGGACAAGGGUUAAAAGAGAACAGUGGGAGCUCUCUUUCCCAGCUAACUCACGCAGUGUGACGCAGAGGCUUUCAGCACAGCCCAGGGUGCCCGGGACUGAAAACUCCUUCACCAGCCCCCUCCA